GGAGGAUUGGCAGAGCGGUUAAAUGCAGUUGCCUGUAAAGCAACCCUACUACGUAGUACGUUGGUUCGAAUCCAACAUCCUCCACCA
rnacentral:tRNA from 1 species